ensembl:lncRNA
AUGGGGGCGGGCAAUAAAAUAGGGCAUAGGGUAAAUAUCAGUAUAUUUAUAGAGUCAUUUCCAAACAGCUCGUACCUCAUAUUCCAUAGAUCCACUUCAUCGGAGGAGGGAGGGAGUGUUUGUGGGAGAGGGAGGGAGAAGCGAGGAGGAGAGGAAGCAGCUGGUGGCGUGACCGGGCGCCGUGGCAGAGGCGUCGCCGCUCCUCUCCGAGAACACCUGGAACGUCCCGCUCCACUCGCAGGCCCCGCUCUCCCCCCUGACCAUCCUCAGUCCUGGAGACGAAUUGCCCCCACAGGGGGCCGGCGGAGGGCGCGUGCUGCGGAAGCUGCCUCUCUCCGCCGGCGGACUCCGUUCCCCAGCUCAUCAUGCCCUGCGAAGCCAGUGUGGAGUUCUGCCAAGACAGGCGGGACGGCUGCUGCUCCACAGACAGGUGAGGGCUGCCACACUGAGGAAUUAAAAUGAUGUCUGUGUGUUUGGUCACUGGGCGACUACGGGAGAUCACUGUUGUCGGCACUACGUAAGUUCGAGUUGUGUGACAUUUAGUGACACUUCCCUAUGUUUUCCCAUUCGUACAUGACAUGUCCUUCCCCGUGUGUAUAUCUGCAUCUGCACCCACGUGCAUUAGUGCAUCUUCAGUAACUCCUACUCACCCUUACACCCCUGCGCUACAUUUUGGCUCUGCUGUGUGACCCCAAUCCCCGCUUUAAGACCAGUGGUAGCAUGAAACGGGCCAUGUGGCUUGCCACAGUGCCUGGUUUAGCUUGUUAAUGUCUUACCGCGAGGAUCAGGAUGGGGUGGACUGGAUUAAAGUGCUACUGACCAACACAGGAAUAUUAAAGAACAUGGCAGGUGGCACAUGGAACAUAAUGAGGAUAUAAAGACAAAUGCGCUUGUCUAUGAUGCAGACAAAAGAUGGUUUAAUAUCUUGUCCUUUUAGGAAAGCUCGUAAGGCCAAUACACAUGAAUAAAAAAUGUUGUACAAGUCAGAAUGAAAUGUUCUUCAAGCCAUUAUAAGAGUAGUCUGGCCAGAGAUUUCUCCUCUGAUACAUCUACAGAAUUUAUCAGACAUCCUAAUCCAGAGCGAUUUACAAUCAGUAGUUUCAGGGACAGUCAACCAGGAAGAAUUUUAGGGUUAAGUGUCUUGCUCAGGGACACAAUGGUAGUAAGUGGGGUUUUAACCUGGGUCUUCUGGUUCAUAGGCGAGCGUGUUACCCACCAGGCCACUACCACUCCACUCUGAUCCCUUGUAUGUCUUACUUCUGCCCCCCAAGUUGCUUCUUUUAAACACGUCAAAGCUCUUCUAUGCUCCAGUCCUGCUGCACCAGGGGACAUUGGGUGAUAUCUGUGCAAUUUGUUGUAAAUUGUAGAAUUGUUACAUCUGUGGAUGUAUUUCAAGCCACAUUUAGUCAUGCAAUUGUAUAUUUAAGAAUUCUGGCUGCCAAGGGAUGCGACACAAGAUUUUAUUAUCAUCAAAGCGGAGGAUGAGCAUCCAGGAUUUAUAGGACAAUUGCUCAUUCCCAUAAGAGCCGGAAAGACACAGACACAGACACAGGCCUAUACGUUGGAAGAGGAUUCUGCUGUCAGACCGACACUCAGACCUUCAGGACCUUUUAAUCCUGGUGCAUGGUCACUGUAGAAAAUAAACAGAUUUGGAAGGACGCCACAUGGCUUUAUAAAAAUCAUCCUUCUCACUGGGUUUCUGGUAACAAGUGGAAACUGAGAUUAGAGAAAUAAAAGCACACAGGGCAGGUGGCUGGUGGAAGCCAGAUAUUCUGAUGGUUCUUUUUCUCCAGCUUCAGGGAAAAGGAGAAGGAGAAGUUUAAUUUAAAGUGUCCUCUGUCACCUGGAAUAUUAUCUAUUUAUAUUCUAUCAUGGUCAGUUAAAGGUGCAUUAGGGAAACAUACUUCUGCAUCUCAAAUAUUCUUAUAUUUAAAUAUAAAAAUAUCCAACUUAAAAAAUAUAUAUCUUCAUCAAUAUACAAUCAAUUCUUGGUUUUUGAAUUAAAUUACAAAAACAAAUGACCUUUUUUCCCAACCAGAUUUAUUUUCAGAUGGUCUAGUGUAGUACCGAGAUAUACUAAACCUCUUCAUGUUUACAUGGAGCAGCAUCGACACAACUGUAGAACUUCCAGCAAACCAGAUGCUUCUUGUUUCUGUGUUUGAUCUUAUCUGCUAUCCGUUGCACCAUUAGCCUACAGCCCAGAGAGAUGGUGUGUGAUGAGUAAAAUCUAAUCUGCUGUGAUGGAGCAAAUAGUUUUCUAUCAGCGAAUCAGAUCGCAGUGCAGUAGUGUGUACAGGAAAUAGCUGGUGUGUGUGUGUGGAGAGAAAUAAGGCCAUUAUGGGGGAUAAAAGAACGGGCGUGUACAUGUGAAUUUGCUGGUGUUUGUGUGGUGUAAUGGGGGGAGCAGCAUCUGUCAUACCGACCUGCUCUGGAUGACCGGGCGUGGCAGCGUCCUGUUGGAUAACACUGCUGCUGCUGCUGUUGCAGAUGAAUGACUGGACAUAUGAAAGUGACUGUAAUUAGAGCUGGCUUUGCCGAAUCACUGUAGGUGUACAUAAUCUGCUCAGUCCAAUUUCCCGAAAUACAAGAUUUUGACGUCAAAAUGUUA